rnacentral:rRNA from 1 species
AGGUAAUAAACCGGAGGAAGGUGGGGAUAGACGUCAAAUCAUCCAUGCCCUUAUGACCUGGGCUACACACGUGCUACAAUGGUUGGUACAACGAGUUGCGAGUCGGUGACGGCGAGCUAAUCUCUUUAAAGCCAAUCUCAGUUCGGAUUGUAGGCUGCAACUCGCCUACAUGAAGUCGGAAUCGCUAGUAAUCGCGGAUCAGCACGCCGCGGUGAAUACGUUCCCGGGCCUU